GCAGGAUUUGCAAAAUCUACGAUUCGCCCGUUCUUCCGGAGGGCGAGGCCGUGUUCGCCAUCACGGAGGGGG